AGAUUGAACGCUGGCGGCAUGCCUAACACAUGCAAGUCGAACGGCAGCGCGGGGGCAACCCUGGCGGCGAGUGGCGGACGGGUGAGGAAUGCAUCGGAAUCUGCCCAGUUGUGGGGGAUAACGUAGGGAAACUUACGCUAAUACCGCAUACGACCUACGGGUGAAAGUGGGGGACCGCAAGGCCUCACGCGAUUGGAGGAGCCGAUGUCGGAUUAGCUAGUUGGCGGGUAAAGCCCACAAGGCGACGAUCCGUAGCUGGUCUGAGAGGAUGAUCAGCCACACUGGAACUGAGACACGGUCCAGACUCCUACGGGAGCAGCAGUGGGGAAUAUUGGACAAGUGGGCGCAAGCCUGAUCCAGCAAUCGCCGCGUGGGUGAAGGAACGGUCCGUUCGGGUUACGUAAACGUCCCGUUUUAGGUAACCGGGAAAGAAAAACGG
rnacentral:rRNA from 1 species